CAAGGGUGAAAUCGGACGGUAAGAGCGUCCGGUCGUCUGCGGUGACGUAGCGACGGCCAAACCCCACCUGGAGCAAGGCCGAAUAGGGGGACUAUGGGUGUCCGGCCCGUCCCCGGGUUGGCUGCUUGACCCCGAUGGAAACAUCGUCCCGCCUUGCGCGGGAACCCGGUGGCCCCUGCGGCUAUCGGGGGGGCUAGAUAGAUGGCCACCGUCCUUCCUCAAGGAAGGAUACAGAACCCGGCUUAUAGGUUUAAAUGGCUC
rnacentral:RNase_P_RNA from 1 species